rnacentral:rRNA from 1 species
UACGAGAGGCCCAAACGUUAUUCGGAAUUACUGGGCUUAAGGAGUUCGUAGGCGGCGCAGAAAGUAGGGUGUGAAAGCCCUCGGCUCAACCGAGGAAUUGCGCUCUAAACUACUGUGCUUGAGGGACCUAGAGGUGAGCGGAACUGAUGGUGGAGCGGUGAAAUGCGUUGAUAUCAUCAGGAACACCGGAGGCGAAGGCGGCUCACUGGGGGUCUUCUGACGCUGAGGAACGAAAGCCAGGGGAGCGAACGGG